ACCCAGACUCCUACGGGAGGCAGCAGUGGGGAAUAUUGCACAAUGGGGGGAACCCUGAUGCAGCGACGCCGCGUGGGCGAGGAAGUAUUUCGGUAUGUAAAGCCCUAUCGGCAGGGAAGAAGAAAUGACGGUACCUGAAUAAGAAGCACCGGCUAAAUACGUGCCAGCAGCCGCGGUAAUACGUAGGGGGCAAGCGUUAUCCGGAUUUACUGGGUGUAAAGGGAGCGUAGACGGCAUGGCAAGUCAGAUGUGAAAGCCCGGGGCUCAACCCCGGGACUGCAUUUGAAACUGUCAGGCUGGAGUGCAGGAGAGGUAAGUGGAAUUCCUAGUGUAGCGGUGAAAUGCAUAGAUAUUAGGAGGAACACCAGUGGCGAAGGCGGCUUACUGGACUGUAACUGACGUUGAGGCUCGAAAGCGUGGGGAGCAAACAGGAUUAGAUACCCCGGUAC
rnacentral:rRNA from 1 species